rnacentral:rRNA from 1 species
GUUCCUGGCUCAGGAUGAACGCUAGCUACAGGCUUAACACAUGCAAGUCGAGGGGCAGCAUGGUCUUAGCUUGCUAAGGCCGAUGGCGACCGGCGCACGGGUGAGUAACGCGUAUCCAACCUGCCUUACACUCUUGGACAGCCUUCUGAAAGGGAGAUUAAUACAAGAUGUUAUCAUGAGUAAGCAUUUUCGCAUGAUUAAAGGUUUACCGGUGUAAGAUGGGGAUGCGUUCCAUUAG